UGGGGAAUUUUGGACAAUGGGCGAAAGCCUGAUCCAGCAAUGCCGCGUGUGAAGAAGGCCUUCGGGUUGUAAAGCACUUUUGUCCGGAAAGAAAUGGCUCUGGUUAAUACCUGGGGUCGAUGACGGUACCGGAAGAAUAAGGACCGGCUAACUACGUGCCAGCAGCCGCGGUAAUACGUAGGGUCCAAGCGUUAAUCGGAAUUACUGGGCGUAAAGCGUGCGCAGGCGGUUGUGCAAGACCGAUGUGAAAUCCCCGAGCUUAACUUGGGAAUUGCAUUGGUGACUGCACGGCUAGAGUGUGUCAGAGGGGGGUAGAAUUCCACGUGUAGCAGUGAAAUGCGUAGAGAUGUGGAGGAAUACCGAUGGCGAAGGCAGCCCCCUGGGAUAACACUGACGCUCAUGCACGAAAGCGUGGGGAGCAAACAGGAUUAGAUACCCUGGUAGUCCACGCCCUAAACGAUGUCAACUAGUUGUUGGGGAUUCAUUUCCUUAGUAACGUAGCUAACGCGUGAAGUUGACCGCCUGGGGAGUACGGUCGCAAGAUUAAAAGCUCAAAUG
rnacentral:rRNA from 1 species